rnacentral:lncRNA from 1 species
GUCUGGGAUGAGAACACGGGAUGUUAUUAUUAUUGGAAUACACAAACAAAUGAAGUGACUUGGGAGUUACCCCAAUAUCUUGCCACACAGGUACAGGGAUUACAGCAUUACCAGCCCAUUCUGUGCCAGGUGCUGAAACUAGUUUUGUGGUAAAUACAGACAUAUAUUCUAAGGAGAAAACGAUUUCUGUUUCCAGUAGUAAAAGUGGACCAGUCAUAGCCAAGCGAGAAGUUAAAAAGGUCAGUGUCGAAACUUACCU